rnacentral:rRNA from 1 species
AGUGAACGCUGGCGGUAGGCCUAACACAUGCAAGUCGAACGGCAGCACAGUAAGAGCUUGCUCUUACGGGUGGCGAGUGGCGGACGGGUGAGGAAUACAUCGGAAUCUACUUUUUCGGGGGGGAUAACGUAGGGAAACUUACGCUAAUACCGCAUACGACCUACGGGUGAAAGCAGGGGAUCUUCGGACCUUGCGCGGUUGGAUGAGCCGAUGUCGGAUUAGCUAGUUGGCGGGGUAAAGGCCCACCAAGGCGACGAUCCGUAGCUGGUCUGAGAGGAUGAUCGGCCACACUGGAACUGAGACACGGUCCAGACUCCUACGGGAGGCAGCAGUGGGGAAUAUUGGACAAUGGGCGCAAGCCUGAUCCAGCCAUACCGCGUGGGUGAAGAAGGCCUUCGGGUUGUAAAGCCCUUUUGUUGGGAAAGAAAAGCAGCAGGUUAAUACCCCGCUGUUCUGACGGUACCCAAAGAAUAAGCACCGGCUAACUUCGUG